rnacentral:rRNA from 1 species
AUACGUAGGGGGCGAGCGUUGUCCGGAAUGAUUGGGCGUAAAGGGCGCGUAGGCGGCCCGGUAAGUCUGGAGUGAAAGUCCUGUUUUUAAGAUGGGAAUUGCUUUGGAUACUGUCGGGCUUGAGUGCAGGAGAGGUAAGUGGAAUUCCCAGUGUAGCGGUGAAAUGCGUAGAGAUUGGGAGGAACACCAGUGGCGAAGGCGACUUACUGGACUGUAACUGACGCUGAGGCGCGAAAGUGUGGGGAGCAAACAGGAUUAGAUACCCUAGUAGUCCACACUGUAAACGAUGAAUGCUAGGUGUAGGGGGUAUCGACCCCUUCUGUGCCGCAGUCAACACAAUAAGCAUUCCGCCUGGGGAGUACGGCCGCAAGGUUGAAACUCAAAUGAAUUGACGGGG